GUUGGGGUCUCGCUGUCUCCUACCCACCCUGGACCUACGACAAGGCUCCAGGUUCCAGUGGGUGAACCUCUCUUGCUCCAGAGAGUCAAGCAGGAACAGCUCUUACAAGAGCUUCGUGUUUAUACUCGGGGGAGUAUAGUGAUUAUAGCAAUCCCCAGAAUGUAGUUCUCCAAUCCCCCAAACAUGAGUCGAAACUUCAUGAAGGUGCAAGAGGAUCUGCAAGUUUAAUGGUACAGGUUGGAUUUUUAUACAACUUUUCAGGCCAGAGGAACACCCACUGGAC